rnacentral:rRNA from 1 species
GUCGAGCGGUAGAGAGGUGCUUGCACCUCUUGAGAGCGGCGGACGGGUGAGUAAUGCCUAGGAAUCUGCCUGGUAGUGGGGGAUAACGCUCGGAAACGGACGCUAAUACCGCAUACGUCCUACGGGAGAAAGCAGGGGACCUUCGGGCCUUGCGCUAUCAGAUGAGCCUAGGUCGGAUUAGCUAGUUGGUGGGGUAAUGGCUCACCAAGGCGACGAUCCGUAACUGGUCUGAGAGGAUGAUCAGUCACACUGGAACUGAGACACGGUCCAGACUCCUACGGGAGGCAGCAGUGGGGAAUAUUGGACAAUGGGCGAAAGCCUGAUCCAGCCAUGCCGCGUGUGUGAAGAAGGUCUUCGGAUUGUAAAGCACUUUAAGUUGGGAGGAAGGGCAGUUACUUAAUACGUGACUGUCUUGACGUUACCGACAGAAUAAGCACCGGCUAACUCUGUGCCAGCAGCCGCGGUAAUACAGAGGGUGCAAGCGUUAAUCGGAAUUACUGGGCGUAAAGCGCGCGU